rnacentral:rRNA from 1 species
AUGCACCCUGAUGAGAAGGAAGCUGUCAUCGACGACCUCAUGGCCUUCCAGGAGAGCAAGGAAUACUAUGCCAAGGUCGGCAAGGCGUGGAAGCGCGGGUAUCUCCUUUACGGACCGCCCGGCACCGGCAAGUCUACCAUGAUCGCCGCCAUGGCCAACUUCCUCGACUAUGACGUCUACGACCUCGAGCUCACAGCGGUCAAGAACAACACCGAGUUGCGGAAGCUCUUCAUCGAGACAACGGGCAAGUCCAUCAUCGUCAUAGAGGACAUCGACUGCUCUGUCGACUUCACAGGAAAACGCCGCCAGGACAAGAAGGCCUCAAGCGACAAGGACUCCGACAACGAUGACAAGCCCAAGCUACCGAUAGAGCCAGAGAAGGACGAUGCCACCAAGGUGACGCUCUCGGGCCUGCUUAACUUCAUCGACGGGCUGUGGUCUGCUUGCGGAGGUGAGUGA